rnacentral:rRNA from 1 species
AUUGAACGCUGGCGGCAUGCUUUACACAUGCAAGUCGAACGGUAACAAGCCUUCGGGCGCUGACGAGUGGCGAACGGGUGAGUAAUGCAUCGGAACGUGCCCAGUCGUGGGGGAUAACGCAGCGAAAGCUGCGCUAAUACCGCAUACGAUCUGUGGAUGAAAGCGGGGGACCGUAAGGCCUCGCGCGAUUGGAGCGGCCGAUGUCAGAUUAGGUAGUUGGUGGGGUAAAGGCUCACCAAGCCGACGAUCUGUAGCUGGUCUGAGAGGACGACCAGCCACACUGGGACUGAGACACGGCCAAGACUCCUACGGGAGGCAGCAGUGGGGAAUUUUGGACAAUGGGGGCAACCCUGAUCCAGCCAUGCCGCGUGAGUGAAGAAGGCCUUCGGGUUGUAAAGCUCUUUCGGCCGGGAAGAAAUCGCGUGAGCUAAUACCUUGCGUGGAUGACGGUACCGGAAUAAGAAGCACCGGCUAACUACGUGCCAGCCGCCGCAGUAAAAC